rnacentral:rRNA from 1 species
UACGUAGGGGGCAAGCGUUGUCCGGAUUUAUUGGGCGUAAAGAGCGUGUAGGCGGCUUUACAGGUCCGUUGUGAAAACUCGAGGCUCAACCUCGAGACGCCGGUGGAAACCGUAAGGCUAGAGUCCGGAAGAGGAGAGUGGAAUUCCGUGGAUGUAGCGGGUGAAAUGCGCAGAUAUCAGGAGGAACACCCGUGGCGAAAGCGGCGUCUCUGGGACGGUACUGACGCUGAGACGCGGAAAGCGUGGGGAGCAAACAGG